GGAGCACAUGAGCUCCUAAGUUGAAAAAGUAAGGAGCACACAAAGAACUUUAGGGGCACAAUGAAAAUUGAUAAAACAAUGUGUGUCUUAUUGGUCAACAUAAGUACUAAAAUCAAUUUUAGGUCAAUUGGUCACAUGACAUAAGAUAAGAUUAGAUUAGAAGAACUUUCUCAAUCCCAGAGGUGAAAUUCAGUCGAAGCUAUUGAAGGAAAACAGCCUUUUUUUUGAGAACAUCAACUGGUAAUUUUUUGAUGGUCUCUUUAUUCAACACCUGACGCUUAGCGAGGAUGCUGAGUAGAUUUAACCGUGCUACUCUUGCCAUUCCUGGUUAUGGAGAGUGAGAAGACACCGGUAGAUAUGCAGUGAAUGUCCGUCGAAUAUCCAACCUAAAACUAACUUCACCGCGGUAUUUCCAUGAAAAAACAUUUGUUGCCUUGGCUGAUUUUUUUUACGCUCACACGUGCCCCUAAAUACACUUUACAAAAUGCACACAUCUAUUUUUAGUUGCAAAUGCAAGUGAAAUGGUCACACUGUCGAGCCCUGACCUGGUUUCUAUUUUCAACAUUAUGAAGCUCUGAUGUUUCUACACUGUGUGAGUGUUGUCUGUCUUACAGGCUUUUGCAGAGGUACAGGGCUGCAUGGACCUGCAGGGUAUGCUUUGGUGUAGAUCUCACACUGAAGCACAAACCAGGUUUAAAGUCCCACUCCAACUGUUUUUUUUUUUUUUUAACCACUUGAAAUAUUCUCAGUGGUCUUUAAAUUGUGAUUAUAAAGUUUUUAGCCACACUUUUUUUACCUCUGUCAUUUUCAAGGGCUUUUCUUCUGCAGAGCUCCAGUAGCUCAUUAGCAAUUCGCCUUUGAGUCGUGGGCGGAGACAGCACUGCUCUGCACACUCCUCUUCAUUCUAGCUUGUAGCCUAACAUUGCCGGUGUAGUAGAAGUAGCAGGUUAGAUAAGCGGUAUUCCGCUUUCGAACACUUAUGUCUUUAGGAGACAUGAUGUAAGGUAAUAAUAUAAUAUUACCUAAUAAUAUACGAGUUCCGCUUGUUCCGCGAUCGUUCAUCUCUAUUUGUCCAAGUGUAGCCUGUAUAGCAGGGCUCUGGGGGCGGAGCUUGGAUGUGCUACGUAGGAAAUCUCAAUGUGUCUGAACCAUAGACUGUAUAUUGAAUGGACGCCGUCUGUCUCCUUGCUGGGUGAAGCCACUCCGAGAACAGCACCCUCUAUUGACAGGCUGCAGUAUAGGUCAUAAAUCCCAUCUCCACCAGCAAAGCUUAUGGAGCUGUGGACAAACUUUAGAAAUUAAUUACACAGAAUAUACAUUUUUCUCCCCCCUGCUUGCAGUGUUGACAUGUAGUUACAGUAAGACUGGUUUGUACUGAAAUCCUCUUUUUUCUGUGAAGCUCCUUUUUAAAAGCUAUUUGGGGGGUCAGGUUUUCUAUGAUUGACUCUUGAUACAGUCUAUUGGUGUUCAAGGAUUGCAUAGCUCACCCGGGGAAUACGCUGUUUGAGCCGAGCGUCAUCACAGCAAAUCUCGGCGACUCUCCCACAGAAUGCGUACAACGCUACUGUGGUGGGACGCCUCCAUCUCCAGUUUUAUUUUGGUAGAACUUCCUGUUGUCUUUGUGUCCCUGGUCUGGCUUGACUGUCUUUUCAGAGCACUCCCCCCCCCCCGGUUGCUGAGGCUGAGUGAGACUCCACACCUGCACUGCAUUGGCAAUCAAGGCCCUUGAAGAAGCCAGCAGCCCUCACUCUCAGUGCCUGAGUAUUGUCUUCACUCCUCAGUGGUACAGACGCUUCUCCUGGCCUUCUCCUUGGCUAAGUGCUUGUGACUUUUUUGCUCCCUGUGAUUCUUUGUUUGUCUUCUCACUUCCAUCUCCUCUGCUUCUCCACAGUGUCUCCAACCCACACAACAGCCAGCCAGCAAACCGGACUUUCUCUCGUGCCUUUUUCCCUGAGUUGGAUAUUAAAAUUACAUUGUUUAACUUGCUAUCUGUCUCUGUGUCUGCUUCUGGGUCCACAAAAUACAUCACACGCCACAGCUACUGUGCAAUGCUGGUACAGUAAGAGCUUUUUGGCUUCAAAUCCGUAUACUGGCGGGAGGCGGAACCAAGUUGUCCAUAUUAUAUACAGUCUAUGGUCUGAACCUGCCGUUUGGGUCUGCCAGAGAUUCACAGUGAUUUGAAUGCAGAAAUACUCAGAAAUACAAUUUCACUCUCAGUUUUCUCGUGAUAUGUCAGAAAAAUGCCAUAUGAACAUGAAGACAACAAGAAAAACACGAUUUUCAUCGGAGUGGGUUUUUAAUAUGGGGCUUUAUGGGGCUGAUGCGCUAUUGUAGCCAGCCUCUAGUGGUUGCUGAAGGAACUGCAGAUUUGGCUAAGCCUUGUUAACUUUAUAUUUCAGAGCUCGGUGUAAACAUGCAGAUGUUAAAUGUGCUUCUCCUCUCCUUUGUCCAGCUCUGUGAUGGUCAUUUCACUUUGUGCAGCUUUAAAAUCAUGGCAGCUACUUGGCCAAGACUUUUCAAAGAUGGACACACACCAUACAUGAUUAAGUGUAGUCCAGUGUUUGUGUUCUUUCAUAACAUGUGCUCCUGUGAAGGAGCUGCAGCUACCAUCUGGGCUGUCUUAAUUAAUGGAGCAUGUCCUUGUAUUUAUUUAUGGUGUGGUUGUGUCUGCAGUAAUGAUCUCACUGGGCCUCAGGGAGAGGAUCCAAACACAAUGAAAAAACAGGUGCAUUGGGAAAACUGCAGCCAAGACUUCUUAAGUAUACUCACUCCUUCACCACUACAAAGACGCCAGCAGUGCACACUCUCACACACCCGUACAAACACACAGCAGGGAGCAGUUAGGUGCAUUUCACACCAAAACACUGCGCUAAGCUCCCAACAUUCCAGAUUGUUGUUGAGCAUGAGGCAGAUUUUGGUUUUCAGUGCUCAAAUGUCCGAUGAUAAGCACUGAGAGAUGUCCUCCUAAUCUCUGGAUUCCCUCUCUAUCAAAAGAAAAACAACCACAUCAUCCAGGUCUAAGAAGCAGCCCUGUGUGUGAUCUCCUCCUGCACAGAGCGCCUCCAGCUAACAGCAUGUUUAACACAUGUGCUUCACACUCAGCUCAUCCAAUAAAUUUGUACAGCAAUGGUAGACAUCUGGAAAACCUGGCACCUCCUCUCUUCAUGAAAAACGGAGCUCCAUCUUCAACACAAGACAGGUGCGUUUUGUUGUUUUCUUACAUCGGCUAAAGUCUCACUUUUUCUUCUGCAUGUCUGUUUUAUGAGCGGGUUCAGCCAAAGCUUUACCGCUGUGACCCUGGACCAAGGGAGUUGUUUACGCCCCUGAAUUGUCAGUACUGUACAGUACAAAAUACAGAACAGAUUUGACUUCCUGUGACUGAAACCAUCUCUGGUAAAGGAGAGGACACCAGAUUGGGUGUAUGUGUACAGAUAAUGUCAGUGUUGUAUUAAGAUUAGAGUUAAUUUUGGUUUCUAUCAGUGCUAAUGAAGUGAAGAUGUUUGAUAAAAUGUGCAAACAGGACUGCACCAAAGUUAAUUCCUCCAUCACUGAGCCUGAUACUAACGGGAUGUUUGAAGUCCAGACUCGUAAAGCAGUUUUACAUCCAAUUAUUUGCUUUUAAAGUCCUUCAUAAAAAAACUUCAGGCUUCAGCUCUAUUUAUGGGAAAUAAACCCACUCGGACCAGAUCAAUGCUGUAAAUUUGUAUGCAGCAUCGUCUGACUUGAUGUUUUCAUUCUGCACGUUCACAUGGAAUAAAGUUUUGCAGAAAGAAAAAUGUUAAGGUUCAAAGAAACUUCCUGUGAUGUUUCUGUUUCAAAUCUCUGACCACUGAAACAUUCAUACUAAAAGAGAAAAGCCACAGCACUUCAAAUUCAAAUUGUUUUUUCCCAGCCUGUGAUCCAGCAAACACAAAUACAAAAUCCAGUGUAUUAAAACCACUCGUAUCCGCGCACAUCUGCCUGUUUAGCUCUAAAAGCGCUCAAAUUGAAGACAAAGUGAUUUUAUAAUACACUCUGCAUGUUUUUAUUUGGGUUUUUGACAAGCUGACAUAAUUAGACGGCUGAAACGAGAAGCAGGCAGCUCUUCAGACGCUCCCUUCAAUAAAAGAGCUUCUCCAUCUUCCUGUGAGACGUCUUCUCUUGGGAAAGUUUCUGAGGCCCGGCUCUUGUCAUUUCACCAGCUCUGUGGUGAUAAAUGAGAGAGAUAAUGUGUAUUAAGCAUGUCCAGUUCCUCUGAAAGCACUCUGUAAGUAGCUCGACUGGAUAAAGGGAGUUCCUGCUCUUCAUCAAAGCUGUUCCCUCUGCAGAGAGCCUGUCAGAGUCCACAAAACGCUGUCUCUGACUCUGUCCUCUCUCUCCUCGCCUCCCUGCAACUUUAUCAACAGUGGGUCACGAACCAGAAAUAUUGCUCCGAGUCUGCAAAAUGCCACAAAGGAGGUAUCUCUUAAUCUCACUAAUUACCUCCUGUACAAACAUAUUCUCAUUCAUAUUCAAACAAAUCUUAAUGUGGAAACUAAGUAACAUCACACAAGGAUGUCUCGCCACACCAAAAACUGUAGAAAAUGGACAGCACUAGUACUCCCCAUCAGUGAGGCCAAAGUGAUAAUAAGAGCUCCCCCUGCUGACAGACUGCAGUAUCAGCUGUAAGAGACAUUUGAGAGUUUGUUCUGGAGCUUCAUAAGCUCCUUUUAUCUCAUAAAACAGAAAACUCCUGAGGAUCUUUUUCGUUAAAAUCAGGGCAAACACACUGUCCAAAGUACCCCAACUCUGGACUAGAGGGAGCCAUAGCCAAAUUGGCAAAACUGCUCUAAAUUAGGUUGUUGCUGCUUUCAGUGGUGCUAUAUCCAACUCGCAGCUUACAUUUUUUUUCUUUUUUAUAUUUUCUUCUUUUUAAUUUUUUUCUUCUUUUUUCUUUAUAAAAAGUUAACUUUUUAUAAUUAUCUGUGCACUGUGUGUAUGAUGAGUGUACAUUUUCUUCUGUGUUUGCUGUGCUGAUCCUGUGCUGCUGUAACAUUGCAAAUUUCCCCUCCGUAGGAUGAAUAAGUUUAUCAUAUUUGACCUUAAUCUAAGUGGACAUACACCUAGGUGGGGCUGCACCAAGUGUCUGCACUAUUACAAAAAGACUCAAACCUGAGCUGGAGUUUUUUUUUUUUUUCACUUAUUUCCACUAAAAAGUCUCAGUUGGGGUUGAUUUAAGCUAAAAUGUAUUAUUUCAAGAUAUUAAAUGCAAAAAAUGAGAAAAGAAAAAAAAAGAGAAAAAAUGAGAUAAAAAAACAAAACAAAAAAGCACCUGAAGAAUAAAAUAACUCAUUACGAGCAACUUCUGUCUCAGUUUUUUUUAAUUUAAAAUGAUCAAAUAAGCCAGUUCUUUGGGCUUGUAAAGUAAAUGUGCACUCAGUCAAACCUGAAAAGACACUUCCCUAGGAAUAAGACAAAAUCAAAUGUGAAGAAUUGAGUUGCUUUUUUUGUGUGCACAAGUAAACGUUUUCGUUUUGUAUGUGAAGUCAGUCAAAAUCUGCUUCUCGAUCCUCCUCCUUCUUAAAAAUAACCUGGCUAAAUCUACCAGAAUCCUUCCCACAGCAGGGGUAGUUGUAGUCCUGUGAAUAGAGACCCACUCUGCCUCAGUGUUUGAGAGGUCCUGCAGUUUAUAUCAGUCCUGAGACGCCUUUUUUCAUCACUCUACUUGUGAGAGGAAGGUAACCGUAUGAGAAUAAGAGCAUUUUAGAUCUGCAGUAAAACCAGAGUAUUAUACAGAGAGGUUUGUUCUAAAAAUGUCUGUACACAUGAUGUGCUGAAACCUCUGCUGUGUCAUUGAAGCUUGAUUAAUAGGAGAUUGUUUCUUUUGAACUGGGAUAAAAGCCGUGCUUCAGCGUCUGCUCUGGCUCAGUAAACUUUUAUUCAGCGAUGUUGACUUUCAGCAGCUGAAACUCAAACAUGAAGUGAGUGAAGUGUGAGCACUGCCUGCCCGUCCAUGCCCCCUUGACACCCUCCCAUUAUGACCAGCAGUGACUCAACUGGGAAUAAGUCCCUCAAAGAGCCACACUGAAAGGAGAUUUCUCAAGCAGGGUUAAAGAGGCCAACACAUCAAGGAGCGAGGGGUGUGUCGGGCUCUUCAGAGGGUAUACAUCUCCACGCUGACAGCAGAGAGGGCGGAGGGCCUGGAAGGUGCACUGGGGGUCAUUUUCCCUCCUUUGGUCCACGUUUGUCCCCUCUGUGCCCGUUCCUCCCCUAAAUGGACGUGACAAACAGCCAGAGGAUCCUGCCCACAGUAACACUAGCUCAUCUGUCAGGGUGGAAAACGAAGCAGCAAUUACUUAUUUCACAAAUAAUAUCAAUUAUCUUCAGAGUCACUCAGGCUGAAAUCAUGGAAAGUCCUGAUGUCUGGAUGCUGGAAAUGAAACUGUGGUCACGAACAUGCAGCUGCACUGCACCACCACGUUCUAGUGUUUCAUGGGAAGCCUGUACAUGACCUUUAGUCAGUGAGGUCAUCAAGAUGGCCUCAGAGGAGCAUGUUCCAGGGUUCCAGGGUUUCAGGGCUCGUUUAGGGGAACGGUUUCUCUAAAAAAAUACUGAAACUAGUUCUAACAAGCUCAGGUCAUUUUUAAUUAAUGCUGUGGUCGAGGUUUGGGGUGCUCAGGGCUGUCAAAUCAUCAUUCCCAUCAUUUCCCAUCACCAAUCACACAUUUGUAAACUUCUUUCUGUGCCUAAAGGGACAUGUAUUUAGUUGUCUUAUCAACACCGGAGUGGAAAAAACGUUGGCUUUUAUUGUAACUUCAGUAUUUGCAUUUAAAACAUCAGUAGUCUGAAUGAUAUAUCUGUGAUAAUACGAUUAUAGUUUAACAGUAAAAUUCUGUAUUUAGCCAAAUAUGUAUGUUGGGAAAAUGAAUAACUACUCCUAAACUCUGUGUUCUUGGACGAUCUCUUUCUUACCUCUGCAUGAUACAAAUUUUUCAUACCUGACCUUGAACACAUCGUGGUGCAGGUAUGUAACAGGGACCCAUUGAAACUCAGCUGCAGGAUGUGUUGUAUUGAUAUUACAAGCUGUAACAUUAAAGCUUUGGAAAAUGUGGAACCAGGUCCUUAACACACCUGUUUCUAUAACCUCAUCUAUUUUUACUCAAGGAAGUUUGUUUCUGCGUAUGGCUGAGGGUCACACAGAAAGUGUUUGGUGAGUUGCAUGUUGCAAAAAAAAAAAAAAGGGUGUUUCGCAGAUUUCUGUAUAUUUUUUAAUAAUUUUCGGCACAGUAAAAAUGGAUUAUUACAUUGUAUUUUGCAGAAGAAACAGGACUCUCAUUAUUACUUUAGUUAUUUUGAUAAUGUUCCUUCAAACCUGUGCAGCCUAAAGGUUAUGCUGUGUAGAUAUUUACCUACACUCAAACUGCUGAUCACCUCUUGCAGUCAGACUGCAGCUUCACCUGUCUCUGCAGCCUGCAUGCUUUACUCCACCAUCGGGCUGCUGUAGGGUCAAAAAUAAACACCCCAGAUGUGAAAUACAGGUAGAUUUCAGUUUGGCGAGUAAAUGUGAGAGCACUGCACUCAAAGGGCUCUAUUUUCGUGCCUCGCCGGAGACGUGCCGCAGGCGCGGUGUAAGUCAGGUCCGCCGCGCCGACAAGGCGUUCCCAAGCACAAUUUUGUAUUUUGGUGAGCUGCGCAGCCCGGCUGUAUCCCCCCUCCCUAACUCAUCUCCUCCCAGCGGCGUAAGUCGUAGCGAGGGAGGAGAGAGGGCGUGGAGUGGCUUUAACACAGCCGAGACCUGUAUUGACCAAUAAAAUCAGCUCGUCUCCUCGCCUUUAAAUCCGCCACCGGCGAGGUGUAUUACUAUUUCCGUGAGUAACCAUCUGUGCGUAAAUGACGCAUCGCGCUCCGUGGCCUGGCUCUUUCUUUCAUAGAUGUUGGCAUAUAAAAUAAAUUUGGCUCAAAAAACUGAAUAUUAUAAUAUUC
rnacentral:lncRNA from 1 species